UCACCUAUACAAGGCCGGGAUAGAGGUUGAAAACUCGAUUUGAGCCUCGGAACAACAUUUAGCAUUUGUUCUUCUCAAAGAACAAAUGAAACAUUAUUUUGUGACUUGAAUCCAAAACUGGACUCAAACAAUCGAGCAAACAUCGAGCAAUAUGAGCAUCUGGGGUUCUGUCGGCUUUGUGGUUUAAGAUUCGAUCAGAUCAAGGAUGAUUUUAAAGGAAGUAGUUAGGGAUUUGGGAAGAGGGAAGUAAGGAGGACUUAUGGUGUAAUUUUAGAGUUGUUUGGAUUGUGGCGCCGCCGUGCACGACGGUGACGGCGCUAGGGUUUGGCAUUUUUGAGGUGUUUGAGUGAUGUUCGAAGAAAAUUAUUGGUAGAUUUAGAACGGGGAGGUGAAGCAGAGGAGAUAGUAAACGUUUGGGCGUCAUUUGAUGUUGGCCGCCGCCGUGGGGCAAUUUCUAGCGGCCGCAUUACAUUCUCUGUGUUUGGAACAUUUGGAGACGACGAGUUUUGGGGGGGGGGUGCAAGGACCCAAAUCACCACUCAGGUAUUCGAUCAGAUCAAGGAUGAUUUUAAAGGAAGUAGUUAGGGAUUUGGGAAGAGGGAAGUAAGGAGGACUUAUGGUGUAAUUUUAGAGUUGUUUGGAUUGUGGCGCCGCCGUGCACGACGGUGACGGCGCUAGGGUUUGGCAUUUUUGAGGUGUUUGAGUGAUGUUCGAAGAAAAUUAUUGGUAGAUUUAGAACGGGGAGGUGAAGCAGAGGAGAUAGUAAACGUUUGGGCGUCAUUUGAUGUUGGCCGCCGCCGUGGGGCAAUUUCUAGCGGCCGCAUUACAUUCUCUGUGUUUGGAACAUUUGGAGACGACGAGUUUUGGGGGGGGGGGGAGGUAAUAUUCGGACAUUUUUAUACCAAUUAACCUAGGAGACUUCC
rnacentral:lncRNA from 1 species